rnacentral:rRNA from 1 species
AGCAGCCGCGGUAAUUCCAGCUCCAAUAGCGUAUAUUAAAGUUGUUGCAGUUAAAAAGCUCGUAGUUGAAUUUCGGGGUCAGUAGAUUGGUCGUGCCACUGGUAUGUACUGGUCUUACUGGCUCCUCCUUCCUGAUGAACCGUAAUGCCAUUAAUUUGGUGUUGCGGGGAGACUGGACUGUUACUUUGAAAAAAUUAGAGUGUUUAAAGCAGGCUAACGCUUGAAUACAUUAGCAUGGAAUAAUGAAAUAGGACGUUCGAUCUUAUUUUGUUGGUUUCUAAGAUUGACGUAAUGAUUAAUAGGGAUAGUUGGGGGCAUUAGUAUUCAAUUGUCAGAGGUGAAAUUCUUGGAUUUAUUGAAGACUAACUACUGCGAAAGCAUUUGCCAAGGAUGUUUUCAUUAAUCAAGAACGAAAGUUAGGGGAUCGAAGACGAUCAGAUACCGUCGUAGUCUUAACCAUAAACUAUGCCGACUAGGGAUCGGAUGAUGUUAAUUUUUUAAUGACUCAUUCGGCGCCG